UACGUAGGGUGCGAGCGUUAAUCGGAAUUACUGGGCGUAAAGCGUGCGCAGGCGGUUCGUUGUGUCGGUGGUGAAAUCCCCGGGCUCAACCUGGGAAUGGCAUUUGGGACUGCAAGGCUGGAGUGCGGCAGAGGAGACUGGAAUUCCUGGUGUAGAGGUGAAAUUCGUAGAUAUCAGGAGGAACACCGGUGGCGAAGGCGGCUUUCUGGACGAUUACUGACGCUGAGACGCGAAAGCGUGGGGAGCAAACAGG
rnacentral:rRNA from 1 species